CCUACGGGAGGCAGCAGUGGGGAAUAUUGCACAAUGGGGGAAACCCUGAUGCAGCGACGCCGCGUGAGUGAAGAAGUAUUUCGGUACGUAAAGCUCUAUCAGCAGGGAAGAAAAUGACGGUACCUGACUAAGAAGCCCCGGCUAACUACGUGCCAGCAGCCGCGGUAAUACGUAGGGGGUAAGCGUUAUCCGGAUUUACUGGGUGUAAAGGGAGCGUAGACGGCAGCGCAAGUCUGGAGUGAAAUCCCAUGGCUUAACCAUGGAACUGCUUUGGAAACUGUGCAGCUAGAGUGCAGGAGAGGUAAGCGGAAUUCCUAGUGUAGCGGUGAAAUGCGUAGAUAUUAGGAGGAACACCAGUGGCGAAGGCGGCUUACUGGACUGUAACUGACGUUGAGGCUCGAAAGCGUGGGGAGCAAACAGGAUUAGAUACCCCAGUAGUC
rnacentral:rRNA from 1 species